GACGAACGCUGGCGGCGUGCUUAACACAUGCAAGUCGAACGAUGAAGCCGGAGCUUGCUCUGGUGAAUUAGUGGCGAACGGGUGAGUAACACGUGAGUAACCUGCCCUUGACUCUGGGAUAACUGCUAGAAAUGGUAGCUAAUACCGGAUACGACCAUCGGAGGCAUCUUCAGGGGGUGGAAAGAAUUUCGGUCAAGGAUGGACUCGCGGCCUAUCAGCUAGUUGGUGAGGUAACGGCGCACCAAGGCGACGACGGGUAGCCGGCCUGAGAGGGUGACCGGCCACACUGGGACUGAGACACGGCCCAGACUCCUACGGGAGGCAGCAGUGGGGAAUAUUGCACAAUGGGCGCAAGCCUGAUGCAGCAACGCCGCGUGAGGGAUGACGGCCUUCGGGUUGUAAACCUCUUUUAGUAGGGAAGAAGCGAAAGUGACGGUACCUGCAGAAAAAGCACCGGCUAACUACGUGCCAGCAGCCGCGGUAA
rnacentral:rRNA from 1 species